rnacentral:rRNA from 1 species
UAUACUGCAGUCGAGCGAAUGGAUUAAGAGCUUGCUCUUAUGAAGUUAGCGGCGGACGGGUGAGUAACACGUGGGUAACCUGCCCAUAAGACUGGGAUAACUCCGGGAAACCGGGGCUAAUACCGGAUAACAUUUUGAACCGCAUGGUUCGAAAUUGAAAGGCGGCUUCGGCUGUCACUUAUGGAUGGACCCGCGUCGCAUUAGCUAGUUGGUGAGGUAACGGCUCACCAAGGCAACGAUGCGUAGCCGACCUGAGAGGGUGAUCGGCCACACUGGGACUGAGACACGGCCCAGACUCCUACGGGAGGCAGCAGUAGGGAAUCUUCCGCAAUGGACGAAAGUCUGACGGAGCAACGCCGCGUGAGUGAUGAAGGCUUUCGGGUCGUAAAACUCUGUUGUUAGGGAAGAACAAGUGCUAGUUGAAUAAGCUGGCACCUUGACGGUACCUAACCAGAAAGCCACGGCUAACUACGUGCCAGCAGCCGCGGUAAUACGUAGGUGGCAAGCGUUAUCCGGAAUUAUUGGGCGUAAAGCGCGCGCAGGUGGUUUCUUAAGUCUGAUGUGAAAGCCCACGGCUCAACCGUGGAGGGUCAUUGGAAACUGGGAGACUUGAGUGCACAAGAAGAAAGUGGAAUUC